UACCAGCUCUCCGAGUGGUAGGGAUGAUUAUUGGGCUUAAAGCGUCCGUAGCCGGCUUAGCAAGUCUCCUGUUAAAUUCAGCGACCUAAUCGUUGAGCCGCGGGAGAUACUACUAGGCUAGGAGGCGGGAGAGGUCAACGGUACUUCCGGGGUAGGGGUGAAAUCCUAUAAUCCCGGGAGGACCACCAGUGGCGAAGGCUGUUGACUAGAACGCGCUCGACGGUGAGGGACGAAAGCUGGGGGAGCGAACCGGAUUAGAUACCCGGGUAGUCCCAGCUGUAAACGAUGCGAGCUAGGUGUUGGGGUGGCUACGUGCCACUUCAGUGCCGCAGGGAAGCCAUUAAGCUCGCCGCCUGGGGAGUACGGCCGCAAGGCUGAAACUUAAAGGAAUUGGCGGGGGAGCACCAUAAGGCGUGAAGCUUGCGGUUC
rnacentral:rRNA from 1 species